AGAGUCAAAUCAUAUUAAAAUCACACUGAUAUUCUUUGGUGGUGAAAAUAGUGAGAGUAUAUGUUUUUUUUAUGUUCAGAUAUAUCAGUGUCCUGAAAUCUAUUCAUCAAUGGAUGUUUCAUUAUUAGAAAUGACACAUUUUCCAAGUAUUGCUUGUAGAUAGACAGAUGCAUAUUACAAAUAUUAUAGUAGACUGACCAGACCAGUUUAAAAAGCAGUAUCAGUCAAAAGACAGACAGUGAGGAAUCAGAUUUAGAUUGUAUUGAGAAUACAGUCCUCACCAUAUCUAUUUAGACAUUGAGGUAUCAGAUUUAGAUUGUAUUGAGAAUACAGUCCUCACCAUAUCUAUUUAGACAGUGAGGAAUCAGAUUUAGAUUGUAUUGAGAAUACAGUCCUCACCAUAUCUAUUUAGACAUUGAGGUAUCAGAUUUAGAUUGUAUUGAGUAUACAGUCCACACCAUAUCUAUUUAGACAGUGAGGAAUCAGAUUUAGAUUGUAUUGAGUAUACAGUCCACACCAUAUCUAUUUAGACAGUGAGGAAUCAGAUUUAGAUUGUAUUGAGUAUUCAGUCCACACCAUAUCUAUUUAGACAGUGAGGAAUCAGAUUUAGAUUGUAUUGAGAAUACAGUCCACACCAUAUCUAUUUAGACAGUGAGGUAUCAGAUUUAGAUUGUAUUGAGUAUACAGUCCACACCAUAUCUAUUUAGACAGUGAGGUAUCAGAUUUAGAUUGUAUUGAGUAUACAGUCCACACCAUAUCUAUUUAGACAGUGAGUAUCAGAUUUAGAUUGUAUUGAGUAUACAGUCCACACCAUAUCUAUUUAGAC